rnacentral:lncRNA from 1 species
ACCAGAGUGAGAUUGAUGGUUAUCUUAUUUUAUUACAAGUAUGUGAAUUAAAAAUUUUUAUUUUUAAUAUUCUAUUGAAUCUUAGAUUGGGUAUAUCAUUUAGAAUUUUUUAAAAAUUUAUAAAUUUGGAUAUAGAAGCAGAUGUCGACUAUCAGUCCAUUACGACGACAGUUGCUCGAGAUGCCACCAGAGCAGUAUGACCCUGAUGUUUCAUUCAGACUAGAUGGACCAU